CUGAGUCACUUAGGGAAUAUGGAGAGC
rnacentral:piRNA from 1 species